AACGAACGCUGGCGGCAGGCUUAACACAUGCAAGUCGAACGCGCCCUUCGGGGCGAGUGGCAGACGGGUGAGUAACGCGUGGGAACCUACCUUGUGGUGCGGAAUAACUCAGGGAAACUUGAGCUAAUACCGCAUGUGCCCUUCGGGGGAAAGAUUCAUCGCCACAGGAUGGGCCCGCGUCGGAUUAGCUAGUUGGUGGGGUAACGGCCUACCAAGGCGACGAUCCGUAGCUGGUCUGAGAGGAUGAUCAGCCACACUGGGACUGAGACACGGCCCAGACUCCUACGGGAGGCAGCAGGGGGGAAUAUUGGACAAUGGGGGCAACGCUGAUCCAGCCAUGCCGCGUGAGUGAUGAAGGCCUUAGGGUUGUAAAGCUCUUUCACCGGUGAAGAUAAUGACGGUAACCGGAGAAGAAGCCCCGGCUAACUUCGUGCCAGCAGCCGCAGUAACAC
rnacentral:rRNA from 1 species